GUGCCCACUUCAGUAACACAUAUGCUAAAAUUGGAAAGAUACAGAGAAGAUUAGCGUAGACCCUGCCCAAGGAUGACACACAAAUUCGUGAAGCGGUCCAUAAUUUU